UGUUAACCUCCUACAGAGGCAUGUUC
rnacentral:piRNA from 1 species